CCUACGGGUGGCAGCAGUCGAGAAUCAUUCACAAUGGGGGAAACCCUGAUGGUGCGACGCCGCGUGGGGGAAUGAAGGUCUUCGGAUUGUAAACCCCUGUCAUGUGGGAGCAAAUUAAAAAGAUAGUACCACAAGAGGAAGAGACGGCUAACUCUGUGCCAGCAGCCGCGGUAAUACAGAGGUCUCAAGCGUUGUUCGGAAUCACUGGGCGUAAAGCGUGCGUAGGCUGUUUCGUAAGUCGUGUGUGAAAGGCGCGGGCUCAACCCGCGGACGGCACAUGAUACUGCGAGACUAGAGUAAGGGAGGGGGAACCGGAAUUCUCGGUGUAGCAGUGAAAUGCGUAGAUAUCGAGAGGAACACUCGUGGCGAAGGCGGGGUCCUGGACAGUAACUGACGCUGAGGCACGAAGGCCAGGGGAGCGAAAGGGAUUAGAUACCCUUGUAGUC
rnacentral:rRNA from 1 species